AGCUCUAAUAGCAUAUAUUAAAGUUGUUGCAGUUAAAACGUUCGUAGUCCUCUUCUAUCUGAGCGAUGCGCUGAGCGUCUAGGAUGCAGCAGUCGUUUCCGCCAGAUACUGUGCAGGACAUGUACCGCAUGAUGCAUGUAGGGGCAGUUCUGCAUCGUACCUUGAGUGAAUCGGUGUGUUUCAAGCAGGCAGAUGCUUUGAACGACUUACCAGGGUAUAGCAAGCGUGUGAACGCACCCUUCCUUUCGUUCAAGGGUGUAUUCUAAAACGGCAAGAACGGUUGAGGGCAUUCGUAUUCAACUGCCAGAGGUGAAAUUCUUUGAUUAGUUGAGGACGAUCGACUGCGAAAGCAUUUGCCAAGGACCUGUCUG
rnacentral:rRNA from 1 species